rnacentral:rRNA from 1 species
AACGAACGCUGGCGGCAGGCCUAACACAUGCAAGUCGAGCGAGGACUUCGGUUCUAGCGGCGGACGGGUGAGUAACGCGUGGGAAUGUGCCCUUCUCUACGGAAUAGCCCUGGGAAACUGGGAGUAAUACCGUAUACGCCCUAUUGGGGAAAGAUUUAUCGGAGAAGGAUCAGCCCGCGUUGGAUUAGGUAGUUGGUGGGGUAAUGGCCUACCAAGCCGACGAUCCAUAGCUGGUUUGAGAGGAUGAUCAGCCACACUGGGACUGAGACACGGCCCAGACUCCUACGGGAGGCAGCAGUGGGGAAUCUUAGACAAUGGGGGCAACCCUGAUCUAGCCAUGCCGCGUGAUUGAUGAAGGCCUUAGGGUUGUAAAGCUCUUUCAGCUGGGAAGAUAAUGACGGUACCAGCAGAAGAAGCCCCGGCUAACUCCGUG